GUGAGGAUCUUAGAUUUCUUGAUCAUUCAACUUAUUUAUCCCUUUACAGUUCAGCUUAAACUCAGCUUGUUAACUUUUCUGAUAUGGAAAGAUGAAGGAUCGAGUUUAACAAGAUGCUGGAAGAUUGAAAAAAUUGCUAACCAAGUUUUAUGUCUCCCCCAUAAUCUUAUUAAGAUUUGACAAUGUACUUGCUUUACUUUACAUUGAAAAGGGAAAGUAUGCCUUGAAGUUGCAAUGUUAAAAACCGGUCGUAGCUUUCGUAAUACAUAAAUAAACACUCAAACUUGGCUUUGACUGGAAAGUAAGCGCUCCAACUUUGAGAGUGCACAUCUAGACACCUCAACUUGGUGUUACUUUACAUUGAAAAGGGAAAGUAUGCCUUGAAGUUGCAAUGUUAAAAACCGGUCGUAGCUUUCGUAAUACAUAAAUAAACUCUCAAACUUGGCUUUGACUGGAAAGUAAGCGCUCCAACUUUGAGAGUGCACAUCUAGACACCUCAACUUGGUGUUACUUUACAUUGAAGGUGUCUAAAUGAUCAUUUGGUAAGUUGGAGUGUACUACUGACACAUUGGAGACGAGUUGAGGUAUCUAGGUGUGCAUACUCAAAGUUAGAGUGCUAAGUGCUUAGUUGUCGGUUGAGACCAACUUUAAGUGUCUGUUUAUGUAUUAUGUCUAAACUAAAUUCUGAUUUGAACCCGAACACCCCCCCUACCCAAUCCCUUACUUGUCAAAAGAGGGUAUUAUCCUUGAAGAGAUCUUGUUUUAGAAUGUCAUGCCUUCAGUCUGAGCAGGCUGAUGCUGGUUGGUAUUGAAGGUUCAAACUUUUUGAAUUGACCUACUGCAACCUUGAAAUUGCCAAAAAUGCGUGUGGAGAAUUAUGCAGUAAACAUUCAGGAAAAAACUCUACAGUUCAGUAAAAUAUUGAAGAUGGAUAAGUUUCAUGGUACCAG
rnacentral:lncRNA from 1 species